AACACACAGACAAAGAAGAAAAGCAGCAAAGCAACAGUCAACACUAAGCCCUUACCAACUAUACCACCUUUUAAGCCAGCACCAACGAGACCACCAACACCAGUGCCAGCAAUCAACAGCCACUGCCAACAACCGGAAUUACCAUUCAGGUCCUGUUCCAACAGCAUUAUCACCAGUCAACUCAAGACCUUUAAUGCUGCAUAACGAUGCUGCCAAAAAACAAGGGGCCAUCUUAAUGGAGGCAGAAGAAAAAAUCAAAACAUGGCUGAAAUACAGUGGUGACCGAAAUGGAGGAAGAAAAAGGAGAUCAGAAAAGGAUAGGCAGACGUAUCCCCCAUCACAUCCUCCAUCUGACAUGAGCAGUGAAUCCGAGGAAGUGUCUGAUAUGACAUGGAGCAGAACUGAUUGAUGACCCAUCAACCCUUGAGGAUCUCAUCACAAAUGUUUAUUAUUAAAUCAAUA